CGUGCAGGAGCACAUGUUAUUAGCUAUGACCAGGAGCCAGGAAAAUUAAGCUCUUGCCGUAUUUUGGAAGAAUAAAAACAGCCCCGUGGACAAGACGUCCUCAGUGAUCGAGGAAGGUCUGAGGAGCAAAAGGAGAAAUCCGGCCAAGGAGGAACUCGUGCCUGAUUAGCAAGUUGGUGAGGCAAUAGCUUACCAUGAUGAUGAUAAGUAGCUGGUACGAGAGGAUGAUUAGGCACAGUGGGAAUGAGACAUGGCCCGGAUUCUUAUGGGAGGCAGCAGUGGGGAAUUUUCCGCAUUGGACGAAAGUCUGACGGAGCAAUG
rnacentral:ncRNA from 1 species